UGGGGAAUUUUGGACAAUGGGCGCAAGCCUGAUCCAGCAAUGCCGCGUGCAGGAUGAAGGCCUUCGGGUUGUAAACUGCUUUUGUCAGGGAAGAAACGAGUUUCUCUAAUACAGAGACUUAAUGACGGUACCCGAAGAAUAAGCACCGGCUAACUACGUGCCAGCAGCCGCGGUAAUACGUAGGGUGCAAGCGUUAAUCGGAAUUACUGGGCGUAAAGCGUGCGCAGGCGGUUAUGCAAGACAGAUGUGAAAUCCCCGGGCUCAACCUGGGAACUGCAUUUGUGACUGCAUAGCUGGAGUGCGGCAGAGGGGGAUGGAAUUCCGCGUGUAGCAGUGAAAUGCGUAGAUAUGCGGAGGAACACCGAUGGCGAAGGCAAUCCCCUGGGCCUGCACUGACGCUCAUGCACGAAAGCGUGGGGAGCAAACA
rnacentral:rRNA from 1 species